rnacentral:tmRNA from 1 species
GGGGGUGAAUGGUCUCGACGAGAGGCAUGUGGGUUGGGGCUGCGGGUCGAGAUUCCCGUCAUCUCGUAAAACGCGGGAAAACCACAAACGCCAACAACAACUUGGCACUGGCUGCAUAAGUAGCCCCUCCGUCCCGCCUCGCCGGUCGGGCGGGAGCCGGGGGUAAUCAGAUCGGCUAGUCCCUCGC